rnacentral:rRNA from 1 species
GACGAACGCUGGCGGCGUGCUUAACACAUGCAAGUCGAACGGAAAGGCCCUGCUUUUGUGGGGUGCUCGAGUGGCGAACGGGUGAUUAACACGUGAGUAACCUGCCCUUGACUUUGGGAUAACUUCAGGAAACUUGGGCUCAUACCGGAUAGGAGCUCCUGCUGCAUGGUGGGGGUUGGAUAGUUUCGUCGGUUGGGGAUGGACUCGCGGCUUAUCAGCUUGUUGGUGGGGUAGUGGCUUACCAAGGAUUUGACGGGUAGCCGGCCUGAGAGGGUGACCGGCCACAGAGGGACAGGGAUACGGCCCAGAGGCAAACGGGAGGAAGGAGUGGAGAAUAGUGCAAAAUGGGCGGAAGCCGGAUGGAGCAACGCCGCGUGCGGAAUGACGGCCUUCGGGUAGUAAACGGCUUUCGCCUGUAACGAGGCGUGAGUGACGGAAAUGGGUAAAGAAGCACCGGCUAACUACGU